GCUCAGGCUGCUUCGCCUCCGCUGGUUUCCUAUCGCCACCACGCACACACACACGCUCGCCUCAACUACUGAUAUUCGACGCUGGCUGGACAACAUUCUCUGCAACCCCGACGUCAUCGACCUGCUGCUAUUGUGUUUCUGUACUGGUAUAUGUGAGGAUUUGUGGCAGUAGAAAUGGCAUGGUGGCGGUGUACUAGUGCGGUGAUGGUUUGCUGGUGGUGGUGGUGUGUUGUUGCCACUGCAUCCCUGACUUCGACGCCGGCGGGACGGUGCUGCCGGCGCAACCUCGGCGUCGGCUCCUACAUCUCUUCUCUGCAAUGCAAUGUGAUCACUUAAACAAGAGGUGAUGAUCUUCAAAUUUAGUUUAGGAUUUGAUUCUCUUUUCUUAUACUUGUAAUUGUACUAUAUUAUUAUUCUUUAUUAUUUUUGUAAAGACUUUGUAUUAUUGUGUGAAUAUCAAUAAAGGAAUAUUUUUCC